UCCCUCGUGGCUCAGAUGGUAAAGAAUCUGCCUGCAAUGCAGGAGACCCAGGUUCCAUCCCUGGGUUGGGAA
rnacentral:tRNA from 1 species